AUUGAACGCUGGCGGCAGGCUUAACACAUGCAAGUCGAGCGGGGGAAGGUAGCUUGCUACCGGACCUAGCGGCGGACGGGUGAGUAAUGCUUAGGAAUCUGCCUAUUAGUGGGGGACGACAUCUCGAAAGGGAUGCUAAUACCGCAUACGUCCUACGGGAGAAAGCAGGGGAUCUUUGGACCUUGCGCUAAUAGAUGAGCCUAAGUCGGAUUAGCUAGUUGGUGGGGUAAAGGCCUACCAAGGCGACGAUCUGUAGCGGGUCUGAGAGGAUGAUCCGCCACACUGGGACUGAGACACGGCCCAGACUCCUACGGGAGGCAGCAGUGGGGAAUAUUGGACAAUGGGGGGAACCCUGAUCCAGCCAUGCCGCGUGUGUGAAGAAGGCCUUAUGGUUGUAAAGCACUUCAAGCGAGGAGGAGGCUACUUUAGUUAAUACCUAGAGAUAGUGGACGUUACUCGCAGAAUAAGCACCGGCUAACUCUGUGCCAGCAGCCGCCGUAA
rnacentral:rRNA from 1 species